UGCCAGUACCUGUCCAGAGCCUGCAGCAUGAAGCGGUCUCGGAUCUUCCCGUUGCAGCCGGCGCAGCCCCUCGGCUUCUCCCUGGACUGGAGGGACACGAGAGACACACCUGGCAGGAGACGGUCCAACAGCACGUUACAUGGAUGCCCUGAUUCAGCAGAGCCUCAGACGGCCUCGCUGGGAUGUCCACUGCUUCAUCAGAUUCACCUCAUUUGCAGAGUUUUGGCAGCGUAACUGCAAGAAGAUCCCAACAUUUUCUCAAAUCCCGUCGUGAUUGCAGCCGCAGGAAUGGAUGGUGAGAAGUGAGUGAAGUACCAUCUGAUGCUGCAGACAAACUGUUCCUUCUCUAACGUGGAUCCAUUUCUGUGGAGGUUCAAGUCUUUGGAGGCCAUCCAAUCCCCUGUCAGUCUGACUAAGCUGCCGACUUUUAGAUUGGAACGGGGGGGAUGUGCUCACCAGCUGUGAGAUUAAGGGGAACUGAUCGAUGGCCUUUCUGAUUGGCUCUCGCGGUGUCCCAGCAGCAUCCAAUCCCCUCGGUUCGGAUGGGUGUCCUCGGCCGAGCCAAAACCAAUUCUUCCUCCACGCAGGGGCCAAAUAAGAUCACUGACCUGAAGCUACAAGGCCACGCUUGUAGGUCCUUCCUCUAUCUGUCUGCAACCCUGGAAAAAAAACAUGGAGACAGGAGGAAGAGAAGAGAGAGUUGUCCAUGCGCGCCUCCCGAAUCUGCCGCAGGAUGUUCUUGGCGUUGAUGAAGGAAGUGCGGUCGCUGAUGUUGUACACCACCACGAAGCCAUCUGCCCAGUCCACCGGCUCCUCCAGUAUACACCUGGCC